UGCCAGCAGCCGCGGGAAUACGGAGGGUGCAAGCGUUGUUCGGAAUUAUUGGGCGUAAAGGGCGCGCAGGCGGUCUUGUCCGUCAGAUGUGAAAGCCCGGGGCUCAACCCCGGAAGUGCAUUGGAAACUGGCGAACUUGAGUACGGGAGAGGAAAGUGGAAUUCCGAGUGUAGGGGUGAAAUCCGUAGAUAUUCGGAGGAACACCAGUGGCGAAGGCGGCUUUCUGGACCGAUACUGACGCUGAGACGCGAAAGCGUGGGGAGCAAACAGGAUUAGAUA
rnacentral:rRNA from 1 species